rnacentral:rRNA from 1 species
CACCGCGGUUAUACGAGAGGCCCAAGUUGACAAACCCUCGGCGUAAAGCGUGGUUAGAAUAUUUUACUACUAAAGCCGAACGCCCUCAUAGCUGUUAUACGCUCCCGAGGGUAAGAAGCUCAAUUACGAAAGUAGCUUUACCUAACUCGACCCCACGAAAGCUGUGGAA